AACGAACGCUGGCGGCAUGCCUAACACAUGCAAGUCGAACGAGACCUUCGGGUCUAGUGGCGCACGGGUGCGUAACGCGUGGGAACCUGCCCUUAGGUUCGGAAUAACUCCCCGAAAGGGGUGCUAAUACCGGAUAAUGUCUUCGGACCAAAGAUUUAUCGCCUUUGGAUGGGCCCGCGUUGGAUUAGCUAGUUGGUAGGGUAAAAGCCUACCAAGGCGACGAUCCAUAGCUGGUCUGAGAGGAUGAUCAGCCACACUGGGACUGAGACACGGCCCAGACUCAUGGGGGAGGAGGGGGGGGGGAAUAUGGAAAAAGGGGGGAAGGCUUGAGACAGCAGGGCCGGGGGAGUGAAAAGGGCCUUGGGGUUGAAAAGUUUUUUACCGGGGGAGGAAAAGAACAGUGCGGGGAAAAAAAGCCCGGGCUAACUCGGUG
rnacentral:rRNA from 1 species